UCGGUGUGUUCGAAUCGUUACGCUUCAACAUUCACCUUCUGCUACAUUCACCUUCUACCAUUUCAGUCAAGCCGUCUACACGUACAGUUUGACGCACACCGAACGCACUGCAACUGCCUCUGCAACGCAAUGCUGCAAGGCAAACGCAGCGUUUCCUUGGAAAUGAAUGUAAUUCUGAUGUACCAAAAUGCAAUGACGCUGUCUGUUUGAUCGAAGCGCAGGGGGUCGAGCAGCGAGUCCGAUCCCAUCUGCAGCGGCAUCGACAUCAAGCUCAGCACCAGGAACUAGUCACCGUUCCUAAAUCUUUCCAUGAUUCCAUGAUGAGUAAAUAAAUAUACUCCAACUAGCUUUUAGUAAUACAGAUCCUGUCAUCCCAUUGGAAGAAAAUGUUCAGCCGGGAACAAGCUCAUCAUCAUCUGACUGGGAAGAGGAAGAGACUGGAAGAGGAAAAGACUGCACGGAGCUGGCAAGAGCCUGAGCGUAUGGUCCAUGUCCAAGAUCAUAGAGGUCAUGAAGUUCACCCAGACCAGCUGCCAUUGGCCAACACUAGACAAGGCUACCAGCUGAAGAACAUUUUUUUUAACCUUAAUUUAACUAGGCAAGUCAGUUAAAAACAAAUUCUUAUUUUUAAUGACGGAACAGUGGGUUAACUGCCUUGUUCAGGGGCAGAACGACAGAUUUGUACCUUGUCAGCCCAGGGAUUCAAACGUGCAACCUUUCAGUUACUAGUCCAAUGCUCUAACCACUAGGCUACCUGCCGCCCCUACACUCUAACCACUAGGCUACCCUGCCGCCCCAUUCAGGAACCUGCCUGGAACAUUCAACCAACACUACAUUCAUAUUCAGUUAAACUGAUGUUGUAGUAUAAUAUAGAAUGCUUAGAUUGCUCACAACUGCAUUGUGGUAUAGAUAUUGUUAG